GCCCCCGUAGCUCAAUGGACAGAGCGCCAGUCUUCUAAACUGUAGGUUGCAGGUUCGAAUCCUGCCGGGGGUG
rnacentral:tRNA from 1 species